UCUGAUUGUUGUUAAACUGACGCCCACCGUUCUGGUACCCGUUUCCGUUGAUACGUUUAUCGCCAUUAUCGUUGAGAACGAUGGCCGGAUUCGAUUGUUCCGACCGUUUACUGUCCCCGGUGGACGGCCUUUCGCUGGCAGCCCUGCUUCCGUUGUUAUUGUUAUUGUACACAGCCUGACUUUCCCCUUGCUGAUUUAGGGUAUUUUCUGCAAAUCUUUUUCUCGCUAGAUUCCUAAAAUAAUUGUCUGAAUCCAUAAAUUCAAAAAAAAAGAAAAAAGUAAUCAGAAACUCAAUCAAUCGACGAUAAAUCGCUACC
rnacentral:lncRNA from 1 species